rnacentral:sRNA from 1 species
GUGGUUCAGCUCUUGGGCUGGACCUGCCUUUUCCGAGCACUUUGCUGCCUGCCUGAUACCUGAGUAAAAUCAGGGCUCUCUCAGGAAGAAAGUUGGGGGAAAUGGCUGUUGGUUAAAUAACCAGUUCUUUUAUCUUUAUAAUAACCAGUUUUUUUAGAUGAAUUAACCAAGUUCCAGAAUAACUGGGUGACUUAUCUGAAGUCAUAGAGUUAGCAAAAGUAUAUGGUUGAGAAUUUCCAAUUCCAGUUCAGGUUUUCUGAUUCCAGUUCCUAGUACUUUUCAAAGGACUAACUUUACUAAUUUGUUGAUGUACAUUCUUAUUUGUUUGUUUCAGGUGCUUGAAGUUUCUGGGAAGUCGGCAUCCAACCCUGGUGCUUCCUUUGGUGCCAGAGCUUCUGAGCACCCACCCAUUUUUUGACACAGCUGAACCAGACAUGGAUGAUCCAGCUUAUAUUGCAGUUUUGGUACUUAUUUUCAAUGCUGCUAAAACCUGUCCGACAAUGCCAGCAUUGUUCUCAGAUCACACCUUCAGGCACUAUGCCUACCUCCGAGACAGUCUUUCUCAUCUUGUUC